GAAAUGCGAUAAGUAGUGUGAAUUGCAGAAUUCAGUGAAUCAUCGAAUCUUUGAACGCACAUUGCGCCCCUCGGUAUUCCGUGGGGCAUGCCUGUUCGAGCGUCAUCUACACCCUCAAGCUCUGCUUGGUGUUGGGCGUCUGUCCCGCCUCCUUCGCGCGCGGACUCGCCCCAAAUCCAUUGGCGGCGGCCCUUGCCUCCCUCUCGCGCAGCACAUUGCGCUUCUCGAGGCGCGGAGGACCGCGUCCAGCAAGCAACCGUCACACCGUCUUUGACCUCGGAUCAGGUAGGGAUACCCGCUGAACUUAAGC
rnacentral:misc_RNA from 1 species